rnacentral:misc_RNA from 1 species
UCACUGCUUGCGCAGGCAGUCUCUUUAGAGUCCCCACCAUCACGUGCUGGCAACUAAGGACAGGGGUUGCGCUCGUUGCGGCACUUAAGCCAACACCUCACGGCACGAGCUGACGACAGCCAUGCAGCACCUGUGCUAGCCCCUUACGGACACCGGCUUUCACCGGCUUUAACUAGCAUGUCAAGCCCAGGUAAGGUUCUUCGCGUUGCAUCGAAUUAAGCCACAUGCUCCGCCGCUUGUGCGGGUCCCCGUCAAUUCCUUUGAGUUUUAGCCUUGCGGCCGUACUCCCCAGGCGGAUGACUUAAUGCGUUAGCUGCGCCACCAAAGGCCUAAGGCCCCUGACAGCUAGUCAUCAUCGUUUACGGCGUGGACUAC